CCACUAAGAUAUUCCGUCCCAGUCCCAACACCCCUCCCUCUCUCCCUCCCUCUCUCCCUCCCUCCCUCCCUCUUCUUUCCUCUCCCUGCCAACCAUUCCUAGCCUACACUUAGAAACACAUAUUACCGCUCGCUCUCCCCCGCUCUCUCUCUCCUUCUCUCUCUCUCUCUCACUCGUUCACUCCUCUCUCUCUCUCUCUCUCUCUCUCUCUCUCUCUCUCUCUGUCUCCCUCGUUCACUCCUCUCUCACCGCUAUAGCUCCAGGACUUUUCUUCUCUCCUGUGUGCUUGUGUUUUCCUGGCUGAGAAACCGGUUCUGUGCUGCUCUCUCUCUCUCUCUCUCUCCCUCUCUCUCUCUCUCGCUCUCUCUCUGUCUCUCUUUCUCCGUCUCUCUCUGUCUUUUCUCUUGCUGUGUCUCGCGCUGUUCCAGUAUCGGUGGCUGGGUUGACAGCUGGCGUCCUCUUUGAGGCCCCUUCUUUCAUUUUGUUUCAGCACAAUUUGUGCUUCAGCUUUUUCUUUUUUGAACAGUUGAUCUUUUCUGUUUUUCUCUCUCUCUCUCUCUCUCUCUCUGUCUUUCUCGCUCUCUCUGUUUCUUUCUUUUCAUGCCUCCUCCCCUUCUCUUCCCCCUCCUGACGCUGAUCCGUGGAGGAAGAGGAAGAGGAAGAGGAACAGAAAGGUGUCUCUGGGAAAGGGGGAUGAGAGGCAGAAACAGUGAGACAGAGCGUGAAAGAAAGCGAGCGAGCGAGAGAAGGAGGAGGAGGAGGAGGAGGAGGAGGAGGAGGACGGAGAGAGCCGGACCGAAUCAGAGAGAAGUGAAAAAGGGGAGAAAGAGAAGAGUUGUGAAGAAAGAAGACUGACAGAGAGCAGAGGACGACAACAGGGACAGCCGAACCGAACAAAAUCGCGGGGAAAGCGGAACAACGGGGCGAGACAAGCGGACUCAUCCGACCUCUGCUGUGAUUGGCCGGCCCACACCCACAUCAGCCCUGUCCUGCAGCCUCCCCCAGGUGUUCAGGUGUGGGGUUGCACCUCCACGGCCCGCUGGCCCGCUGGCCCCACGUACCCAGGCGUACGCCGCCGCCACAGGGUGCAAUCAACACAUGCCACAGCACGGCCUCGCCUUCUCACUGCCACCCCAGGGCACUGCAGUACAUGAAGGGUCUGCGUGGCAGUGGUGUGUGGCAGCACAACAGGCCAAAGUGUUGUGGAGCGGUGACAACUCUCCUGGAAAAGGGCUUGUGAAAAAGGGAGGCAGACUUGUCUUUCUCCGAUGGCAGCAGACUUCCAGUGGAGGGAUACGUUUGGCUUUUACUCGUCUCUGUCCCUCAGCAGCCUUAGGAUUUGAAUCUUGCUUCCCCAUAAGGAAGUCUGUCUGCCUGGGUGCUAUCCAUCCCCUUCCUUCACUUUGAUGCCAUACCACGUUAGCGAACAAAAGGACCUUGCAAAAUGGCCAGAGGAUUCAUGUUUUCCUGGGCACAUGAAACAGUAGUGCAAGAAGAACCGAUUUGGUUGAUGCGGGCCUUCAAAUCUUUAAUUUUAUUUUAUUAUUUAAUAAUUUUUUUUUGGGGGGGGGGGUGGAGACAGGAUCCUGCAGGAUCUCCAUCUUCCCUUGUCCUCACAUCACCUGGACCGUUGGAGGGCGUGAGUUCAGAGUCAUCCCGGCGCACACAGAGCAGUCGACAGUCGAUUUUCAACAGGAAAAAAAGGGAAUUAUACAGGGUAUACCCAUUGGUUUUGUGAAUUAGGUUUAGGAAUGACACGACGAAAGGUUUUGUGACUAGUUUGCAUCAAGAAGACUAAAACGCGCAAGAUAAUGUCAUAGAAACUUGUCACACUGGUGCACAUUGCUGUCUUUAAAGGGAAGAUCUCGGAGCUUCUCUGCGGCAUGCUAUAUUGUGGUGAAAUGCAGUAUCUAAUUCUGCCUCCAUUGUGUCAUCCUGACACUUAGCUUUCUGUUACCAGUAAAAAUGUGUGAUGUCGCGUAUUAUUAAUAGCAUGAUGUAUAGAGACACCAUGUAGCUCAUAAGCUUCAGUUUGAUAGUACACUGCAACAUUUGUUUCUCGAAGGUUCCUCACAUCUUUUUUUUCACAGAUGUGAUAUGACAAAAGCUGACGAGAAAAAAAAACGAAAAGCCAAGAAGGAAAAAAAUCACUAACGUGUCUGAGUUUCAAAAAUUGUUUAAGACAAGCCUUUGUGUCCCAGCGUGCACCUCUGUCCCUGAGACCCUUAACCUGUGAAGUCAUAACAGGUCACAGGUGAGGUCCUCAGGAACAGGGUUUCAUGCGUUUUCACCCCAGUAGUCCUGUAGAGUUCUGCUGUACAUUCACUUCCCUGAGAUAGAGAGACCCAAAAGGUAAUCUACGGCUUUAAAACCACUCACGAAUGAAGUGUGCUGAUGACCUUUCCUAAAACUGCUGAUCUAACUAAAAAGGACCAGACCCGCAGAUUGAACGAUACGCCCUAUGAAUAUUCAUCGCAACGAUUACUAGCCUUUCAUCAGACAUUUUCCGAGCAAGGGCAGAGAGAGGGAAAACAGAGAAGAAAAGAGGGUAGGAUGCUAAAUGAAGGAGGACGAGAGACCGAGGAAGAGGAUGAGGAAGAGCAAAUUGUUCUUGACUCAAGGGGGCAUACCCUUUUGGCUGUCUUUGUUGUUCUCACCCCUGAGAGAUGUGAUGAGAAGGCAGCCAAGGCCAGUGACCCCGACACACAGUCCUCGCUGAAUGUGAUGGCUAAUGAAUGCAUCCCUCCUAUGGCAUAUAAACAGCUCUGAUAUUCUAUAUGAUGUUUCUUCUCUGGCACUACAUGAAUAAACAUGUGUUCUCACAAAAGAGUGUCCAUUAAAUAUUUCUUAUGCAAUAUUUCAUAGAAUGUGUACGUUUGUAUUUGUGUGUGUGUGUGUGUGUCUGUGUGAGAGAGAGAGAGAGAGAGAGAGAGAGAAAAGGAGAUAGAUAAUCUCUGCGUGGUGUUUAAUUCCACUGUGCAAACGAACAGGAUGAAGCCUGAAGCAUCUGUUGUGCAGAAGAAUAAAGAUGAUCUGAACGUCUGAAAGAGCUCAGAAUCCAAUCAAGGCCCACACACCCACCAACUUUAUUACAGAUUCCUCCAUUUCCUAUAUGACUCCCGAAGCUGUUAAAGAACAUUAAGAUCUCAUUAGUAAUCCAAGCACUCCGCCACAGUCCAAUGAGCCCAGCUCAUAUAUAGGGCUAUUCGGGGGG
ensembl:lncRNA